rnacentral:rRNA from 1 species
UACAGAGGUCCCAAGCGUUGUUCGGAUUCACUGGGCGUAAAGGGUGCGUAGGUGGCUUGGUAAGUUUGAUGUGAAAUCUCCGGGCUUAACCCGGAAAUGGCAUUGAAUACUAUUGAGCUGGAGGUUUGGAGGGGGGACUGGAAUUCUCGGUGUAGCAGUGAAAUGCGUAGAUAUCGAGAGGAACACCAGUGGCGAAGGCGGCUCACUGGACCGGAACUGACGCUGAGGCGCGAAAGCGUGGGGAGCAAACGGG